UAACACAGCAAUAGGAAAGAAACUGAUACA
rnacentral:piRNA from 1 species